AGAGAGAGACAUGCGCGCAUAUCAAUAAGCGGAGGAAAAGAAACUAACAAGGAUUCCCUUAGUAACGGCGAGUGAAGCGGGAAGAGCUCAAAUUUGAAAUCUUCAAGGUUUUACCUUGACGAAUUGUAGUUUAAAGAAGUGUUUUCUGCUGAAGUUUUGGUAAAAGUUCUUUGGAAUAGGACAUCAUAGAGGGUGAGAAUCCCGUAUUUGACCAUUAUUUUCAGCUUUGUGAUACACUUUCAAAGAGUCGGAUUGUUUGGGAAUGCAGUCCAAAAUGGGUGGUAAAUUUCAUCUAAAGCUAAAUAUUGGCGAGAGACCGAUAGCGAACAAGUACCGUGAGGGAAAGAUGGAAAGAACUUUGAAAAGAGAGUUAAACAGUACGUGAAAUUGUCAAAAGGGAAGCGUUUGACACCAGUGUUGUUUUCUCGAAAAUCAAUUAAAAAAUGGCUAGAUUUUGUAUUGUAUUGACUUUGUCAGCUUUCUGCACUCUUUUCUUGUCUUUUUUAAUGCACUUUUCGUUUAACAAGUCAACAUCAAUUUCUUUUGUUGUAAAAGGGUCAUUGGAAGGUGGCUUUCUUUUCGGAGAAAGUGUUUAUAGCCUUUGGCCUCUGCAAUCGGAGAGAUUGAGGUCUGCAGCGUAGAUCCUUCGGGGUUAGAUACAUUUGUGCUAAGUUAUAGCCUUUCAUAGACAACUCGUUGACUAUGAUCAGUCAUGUAGCUUACUCGCUUAUGCUAUUUUACCUACGCUUAGGAUGUUGAGUCGUAGAGCACGCAG
rnacentral:rRNA from 1 species